rnacentral:rRNA from 1 species
GCCAACAGCAUACCAUCCUGCAUCCCACUGCUGGCUUGUCUCUGAAGCUAAGCAGGGUUGGUCCCGGUUGGUCCUGGAUGGGAAACCAUAUGCUGCUGGAAGUGCUGUUGGAG